rnacentral:rRNA from 1 species
UACAGAGGGGGCAAGCGUUGUUCGGAAUUACUGGGCGUAAAGGGCGCGUAGGCGGCCUGUUAAGUCGGACGUGAAAUCCCUCGGCUCAACCGGGGAACUGCGUCUGAUACUGGCGGGCUUGAAUUCGGGAGAGGGAUGUGGAAUUCCAGGUGUAGCGGUGAAAUGCGUAGAUAUCUGGAGGAACACCGGUGGCGAAGGCGGCAUCCUGGACCGACAUUGACGCUGAGGCGCGAAAGCCAGGGGAGCAAACGGGAUUAGAAACCCCCGUAGUCC